AGCGCCAGCGUGACCCAGCCGCCACAGCAGCUGGAUUGAUUUUGGACUCACGCUGGGCCCCAGAACGCCUCUCCGACACAGUCAACAGCUCUUUUCUUUCCCUGUCAUUUCCACCUUCUGCCCAAGUGCCAAAGUCCUCGGCUGUUUGCUCGGGCCUCAUAAGUGGCAAGCAGCCAUCUGCUCCCUCCCUCUGAGGCUUGCCUUGCUACACCUAAUCCCCUGCACUGGAGAUCAGGCUACAUGGGAAAGCAGUGUGGCCUAAUGGAUAGUGCCCUUGGCUGGCCCCUCAGAAGACCUGGGUUCUAGUCCUGGCUUUGCUGCUAAGUAACCUUGGGGACAGUAAUGAGGGAUUACCUAGGAGGACAGCAUAGGACACUUCCAUGGGAAGAAAGCCAGGGGAUUACACUGCUGGCAAAUGAACCCCAUGCUUAUGUGCUGGGAGAAAAGGAGAGAGGCUGCAGAGGAGUGGGGAUUUUUUCUAAGGCAUCAGAAGAUCGGAUUUACGCAGAAGAUUGGAUGUUCUAUCGAUGGACUAAUGGACCAACACCACUGAUGAGUGGGACAAAAAUCCUUUAAACGGCGAGGCUGCAAAGAACAGGAGUCCCAGUGAGCUGGUUCCAUUGUGCUUCACGCUGAUGCUCAAAAACCUGCUUUUUCAGUCUCCUGACAAGUGAAAUACCCUGCAGCUCUCCAGAGGCCUGAUCAGUGAAAACUGUUUGG